rnacentral:piRNA from 1 species
UGGAAACAGUGUGAAUCCAGCCAGGAAUGU